rnacentral:rRNA from 1 species
UCUCCUGGAAACGGGUGGUAAUGCCGGAUGUUCCAGUUGAUCGCAUGGUCUUCUGGGAAAGCUUUCGCGGUAUGGGAUGGGGUCGCGUCCUAUCAGCUUGACGGCGGGGUAACGGCCCACCGUGGCUUCGACGGGUAGCCGGCCUGAGAGGGCGACCGGCCACAUUGGGACUGAGAUACGGCCCAGACUCCUACGGGAGGCAGCAGUGGGGAAUAUUGCACAAUGGGCGCAAGCCUGAUGCAGCGACGCCGCGUGAGGGAUGGAGGCCUUCGGGUUGUAAACCUCUUUUAUCGGGGAGCAAGCGAGAGUGAGUUUACCCGUUGAAUAAGCACCGGCUAACUACGUGCCAGCAGCCGCGGUAAUACGUAGGGUGCAAGCGUUAUCCGGAAUUAUUGGGCGUAAAGGGCUCGUAGGCGGUUCGUCGCGUCCGGUGUGAAAGUCCAUCGCUUAACGGUGGAUCCGCGCCGGGUACGGGCGGGCUUGAGUGCGGUAGGGGAGACUGGAAUUCCCGGUGUAACGGUGGAAUGUGUAGAUAUCG